GUCGGGUUCAGUGGCGGCGCCUGUAAUCCAAACUACUGGGAGGCUGAGGCUGGAGGAUCGCUGGAGCUCAGGGCUUCUUCUGGGCUGCAGUGGACUGUGUCGAUCGGGUGCCCACACUAAGUUCGGUAUCGAUAUGGUGCUCCUGGGGGAGCUCGGGACCACCAGGUCGUCUAAGGAGGGGUGAACCGGCCCAGGUCGGAGACCUGGGGGUCAAAGCCCCCGUGUCGAUCAGUAGUGGGAUCGCGCCUGUGAAUAGACACUGCAGCGCAGCCUGAGUGAUACAGCGAGUGU
rnacentral:SRP_RNA from 1 species